rnacentral:sRNA from 2 species
GUAUCUGAAGUCUGACGAGGAUGAGAACCUCCGGGGGCAAGAGGUUCGACUCGAGCGAAGCGAGAGAACGUUGCGCCAGCAACGGCCCGCAGUGGCAAGUCAUCCUCUGUCACCGGCAG